rnacentral:rRNA from 1 species
CAGAACAAAGGGCUGCAAGACCGCAAGGUUUAGCCAAUCCCAUAAAUCUGUUCUCAGUUCGGAUCGCAGUCUGCAACUCGACUGCGUGAAGCUGGAAUCGCUAGUAAUCGCGGAUCAGCAUGCCGCGGUGAAUACGUUCCCGGGCCUUGUACACACCGCCCGUCACACCACGAGAGUUUGCAACACCCGAAGUCGGUGAGGUAACCUUUAUGGAGCCAGCCGCCGAAGGUGGGGCAGAUGAUUGGGGUGAAGUCGUAACAAGGUAGCCGUAUCGGAAGGUGCGGCUGGAUCACCUCCUUU